AUUACAUGAUUCUCCUCUUGAGUUGAAUAUGCAAUGAUCGAAUAAACAUUCAUCGAAGUGGUGAAACUGUUAUCUUGUCACGCCUGCUUUAGUGAAUUUUUAUUAGGAUAUUGAACAUUCAUU